rnacentral:lncRNA from 1 species
CGAGAUCGUUCAGUCAUCACAUUAUUUCCCACAGGCGGCAAAGGGCCUGGAGUGAGUGCACUGGGGACGCCGUUCAGAAGGACGAAAGAAUGAAUUCCACAGUCUUCAAAGCAUUUGCACAUCCAUCAAGGGACGGUAGGAACUAGGCAAGUGACGGUACCUCUCUGGGCCUCAGUUUGCUUGUCUGUAGGAUGGGGCCUGAAUCAGAUGCCUCCCGGGCCCACUUCACAUCCCUCCGGCCUCUUGGCCCAGGGCGGCUCCAGGACAGACACGGUCGUGCUUAGACAGCACCGCAACCCUGCGCCCCCGGUGCAUCCUUCAGCUCACUUUCUGAAUCCAUCCCCAACACGGCAGCACCAGGAUGUUGGUGGGAGCCCCCGGGGAGGCGGGCACAGCGGGAGGUGCAGGGAACAUCACGCCCCCCCAGGGCGACCCUCCACCAGUGGGGGUCGGGGUGCUCAAGUGGAAGGUGCUGGGUGGCUUUCCGUGUGCCCCUCAGAGGGCCCAGCUGCCCGCGGUGGUGACGCCCCUUGCAUGGUCUCUUCCUCCUUCUCUGUCUCGCCCUCCCGCCCCCUCACACAGCCCCCUGGAGCCCUUCCAACAGAUACUCUGCACCUGGGUCCUCACCGAGCUCUGCAACCCAGGCUAAGACAGGGCCAACAAGUAACAGCAGCCUUACAAGCACAUGUGAUGACCGCAGGAGCCAACGGCGGCACAGGUGGAUCCCCAGCGUGGCGGAUGAGAAAACUGAGCUGCAAAGAGCUAGAGUGGCUGGUCCUGGUUUAG